CUGCUACUCCCUCCGUUCGGAAUUACUUGUCGCAGAAAUGGACGUAUCAAGACGUAUUUUAGCUCUAGAUACAUCCAUAUCCAAGACAAGUAAUUCCAAACGGAGGGAGUACCUU
rfam:Triticum aestivum genome assembly, contig: Triticum_aestivum_CS42_TGACv1_scaffold_000461_1AL